rnacentral:rRNA from 1 species
GGUUAAGCGACUAAGCGUACACGGUGGAUGCCCUGGCAGUCAGAGGCGAUGAAGGACGUGCUAAUCUGCGAAAAGCGCCGGCGAGGUGAUAUGAACCCUUGACCCGGCGAUGUCCGAAUGGGGAAACCCAGUGUGUUUCGACACACUAUCGUUAACUGAAUACAUAGGUUAACGAGGCGAACCGGGGGAACUGAAACAUCUAAGUACCCCGAGGAAAAGAAAUCAACCGAGAUUCCCCCAGUAGCGGCGAGCGAACGGGGAGCAGCCCGGAGUCUGAAUCAGCUUGUGUGUUAGUGGAACGGUCUGGAAAGUCCGACGGUACAGGGUGAUAGUCCCGUACACGAAAACACACUUGCUGUGAACUCGAAGAGUAGGGCGGGACACGUGGUAUCCUGUCUGAAUAUGGGGGGACCAUCCUCCAAGGCUAAAUACUCCUGACUGACCGAUAGUGAACCAGUACCGUGAGGGAAAGGCGAAAAGAACCCCGGCGAGGGGAGUGAAAAAGAACCUGAAACCGUGUACGUACAAGCAGUGGGAGCACCUUCGUGGUGUGACUGCGUACCUUUUGUAUAAUGGGUCAGCGACUUAUAUUCUGUAGCAAGGUUAACCGUAUAGGGGAGCCGAAGGGAAACCGAGUCUUAACUGGGCGUUAAGUUGCAGGGUAUAGACCCGAAACCCGGUGAUCUAGCCAUGGGCAGGUUGAAGGUUGGGUAACACUAACUGGAGGACCGAACCGACUAAUGUUGAAAAAUUAGCGGAUGACCUGUGGCUGGGGGUGAAAGGCCAAUCAAACCGGGAGAUAGCUGGUUCUCCCCGAAAGCUAUUUAGGUAGCGCCUCGUGAACUCAUCUUCGGGGGUAGAGCACUGUUUCGGCUAGGGGGCCAUCCCGGCUUACCAACCCGAUGCAAACUACGAAUACCGAAGAAUGUUAUCACGGGAGACACACGGCGGGUGCUAACGUCCGUCGUGAAGAGGGAAACAACCCAGACCGCCAGCUAAGGUCCCAAAGUCAUGGUUAAGUGGGAAACGAUGUGGGAAGGCACAGACAGCCAGGAUGUUGGCUUAGAAGCAGCCAUCAUUUAAAGAAAGCGUAAUAGCUCACUGGUCGAGUCGGCCUGCGCGGAAGAUGUAACGGGGCUAAACCAUGCACCGAAGCUGCGGCAGCGACACUAUGUGUUGUUGGGUAGGGGAGCGUUCUGUAAGCCGUUGAAGGUGUGCUGUGAGGCAUGCUGGAGGUAUCAGAAGUGCGAAUGCUGACAUAAGUAACGAUAAAGCGGGUGAAAAGCCCGCUCGCCGGAAGACCAAGGGUUCCUGUCCAACGUUAAUCGGGGCAGGGUGAGUCGACCCCUAAGGCGAGGCCGAAAGGCGUAGUCGAUGGGAAACAGGUUAAUAUUCCUGUACUUGGUGUUACUGCGAAGGGGGGACGGAGAAGGCUAUGUCAGCCGGGCGACGGUUGUCCCGGUUUAAGCAUGUAGGCGGAGGUUCCAGGUAAAUCCGGUACCUUUUAACGCUGAGGUGUGAUGACGAGGCACUACGGUGCUGAAGUGAUAAAUGCCCUGCUUCCAGGAAAAGCCUCUAAGCAUCAGGUAACACGAAAUCGUACCCCAAACCGACACAGGUGGUCAGGUAGAGAAUACCAAGGCGCUUGAGAGAACUCGGGUGAAGGAACUAGGCAAAAUGGUGCCGUAACUUCGGGAGAAGGCACGCUGAUAGGUAGGUGAAGCCCCUGCGGGCGGAGCUGAAAUCAGUCGAAGAUACCAGCUGGCUGCAACUGUUUAUUAAAAACACAGCACUGUGCAAACACGAAAGUGGACGUAUACGGUGUGACGCCUGCCCGGUGCCGGAAGGUUAAUUGAUGGGGUUAGCGGCAACGCGAAGCUCUUGAUCGAAGCCCCGGUAAACGGCGGCCGUAACUAUAACGGUCCUAAGGUAGCGAAAUUCCUUGUCGGGUAAGUUCCGACCUGCACGAAUGGCGUAAUGAUGGCCAGGCUGUCUCCACCCGAGACUCAGUGAAAUUGAACUCGCUGUGAAGAUGCAGUGUACCCGCGGCAAGACGGAAAGACCCCGUGAACCUUUACUAUAGCUUGACACUGAACACUGGUCCUUGAUGUGUAGGAUAGGUGGGAGGCUUUGAAGCGUGGACGCCAGUCUGCGUGGAGCCGUCCUUGAAAUACCACCCUUUAAUGGCUGGUGUUCUAACGUAGACCCGUGAUCCGGGUUGCGGACAGUGUCUGGUGGGUAGUUUGACUGGGGCGGUCUCCUCCCAAAGAGUAACGGAGGAGCACGAAGGUUGGCUAAUCCUGGUCGGACAUCAGGAGGUUAGUGCAAUGGCAUAAGCCAGCUUGACUGCGAGCGUGACGGCGCGAGCAGGUGCGAAAGCAGGUCAUAGUGAUCCGGUGGUUCUGAAUGGAAGGGCCAUCGCUCAACGGAUAAAAGGUACUCCGGGGAUAACAGGCUGAUACCGCCCAAGAGUUCAUAUCGACGGCGGUGUUUGGCACCUCGAUGUCGGCUCAUCACAUCCUGGGGCUGAAGUAGGUCCCAAGGGUAUGGCUGUUCGCCAUUUAAAGUGGUACGCGAGCUGGGUUUAGAACGUCGUGAGACAGUUCGGUCCCUAUCUGCCGUGGGCGCUGGAGAAUUGAGGGGGGCUGCUCCUAGUACGAGAGGACCGGAGUGGACGCAUCACUGGUGUUCGGGUUGUCAUGCCAAUGGCACUGCCCGGUAGCUAAAUGCGGAAGAGAUAAGUGCUGAAAGCAUCUAAGCACGAAACUUGCCCCGAGAUGAGUUCUCCCUGAGACUUUAAGUCUCCUGAAGGAACGUUGAAGACGACGACGUUGAUAGGUCGGGUGUGUAAGCGCAGCGAUGCGUUGAGCUAACCGAUACUAAUGAACCGUGAGGCUUAACCUU